rnacentral:rRNA from 1 species
UACGUAGGGUGCAAGCGUUGUCCGGAAUUAUUGGGCGUAAAGAGCUCGUAGGCGGUUUGUCGCGUCGGCUGUGAAAACCUGGGGCUCAACCCCGGGCCUGCAGCCGAUACGGGCAAACGUAGAAUUCGGUAGGGGAGACUGGAAUUCCUGGUGUAGCGGUGAAAUGACGCAGAUAUCAGGAGGAACACCGGUGGCGAAGGCGGGUCUCUGGGCCGAUAUUGACGCUGAGGAGCGAAAGCGUGGGGAGCGAACAGG